UGUGAAACAACAAGGGCGGAAUUUUGACGAUUCGAUUAUGCGUCAACAGCAAUAUCGUUAUGUAGGAGAUUUCGCUAUCACAGGCCGUACAAUCUCACCAUAAAUACAAUUGAAUCAUACAAAAGGGAACGAUAAACGAGAUUCCCGCUUAGUUUCAAUUUCAUAUUCGGUCCGAACAGUUUGAAUUUCGUGUUCUGUGCCUGUUUCUGAAAAGAUGUGAUUUGUUAUAGCUUGCGUGUUGGCCAAGGAAGUGUAUGACUGUUCUUGGAUUUCCGCUGCGAUAAAUAAACAAAACCAUGAUAGAGUGACCAGAAAUAAAAAUGACGAAAGUCAAACGGAUAAACUUAUCACGAUAUUUUUUGUGUUUUUUUAUGUUACAUUUAUUCUGUUCGCUUUCAAAUCGUGAAAUAUCUUUUGACUAUUAAAAUCAUGUUUCACUUUAAUUGAAAUAUAAAUGUUCGAUACACUUUCAAGUCGAUUGGACUGAUGAUUCAUUUUAAUGGUGUUUUUAACUUGAUUCGGUUUUCGAGUGUUAAUCAACUGAUAAGGAAUGCCAAUUUCGAAUUUUACGUUAAUAAAUAUUUACAUUUUAAUAGAUGCGUUAACAUACUUCGGAAACACCUGGACUCUUGAUAUGUUGCACAUCGAUCCUAUGGUCUUUGAAUGGUAAACCAGAAAAGGUUCACCGAUCCGAAAUAUUGACGAAUUUCAAAUAAUAACGAAAGACUAGAGAUAACCGGAGAUGCGUGCUAUUUGAUGACAUUCAAAACCAAACGGACACCAAAGGGGAAAGCUCUUCAGUGGACAAUAUCACAGAAAGCAGUGUACCGAUAAGCACUCUUCAAACUGAAAAUGAGAAUGAAGCAGAAACAGAAUCCACAAUUGCUCCUGAGACAUAUGUGCCAAAUUCUUCUUCUGUUGUUUCGUAUGCCGUUCCGAUCGGUGUGUCUCCUUUGAUCAUCAAUGCUGCAGCCGUUGUUGUCUUCCUUCGUCGGAAAUCAUCUUCGAAAAACAGCGAACAAAUGGAAGUUUCUUACCGCCAAAAUGACAAUGGCAAAGAGCUACAACCAGAGCCAGAGACAAAUCCAUAAGAUCAUAUUUACGAGGAAAUCGAAGAACGAGAAUAUCUUUAUGACCACCUGGCAUUCGAAUUCGAUCCCAUGCCGAUAUCAACUGCAAACCAACACUAUCACAACUUCACUUUGGUCAAUCGGGAUCGUGGAACUCAAACUCAAAAUAGUUGUGGAAAUCAAGGCUUCUCAACGUGGAAUCCAUCCAAACUACCAAAUCAACGCAACUUCAUUUUGAUACACUAACUGUUUUGUAUUCAAACAGACAAAAUGGUGGUCAUGUAAAUCAUUUCUGAAAGCCAGUAAAAACGACUUUGUCAUGGGCUGUACAGUGUACACGCUUCUAAAAAAUUUCGUAAAAGAAAACACCUUCUAUUUAUGAAUGAAUUCAAUAUUUGACUUUGAUAAUCACCCUAAAAAUGCUAAAAAUUAUUAAAUUAUGAAUAAAAACAAUA